rnacentral:lncRNA from 1 species
UUCAUUCUUCAAUAUGUAUUGCUUUAGAAUUUUUGACAUGUGUUUUGUACUUAUAAUGUGUUUCAUGAUCAUGGUGUCGUUGUACUAUAGUGGUAAGCAUUACUUUGCUUGGACUUUUGCAAUUUGAACCAUACAUUUGUUUUCGUUUCUAAAAACUUAUUGAUCAUGAUUUCUUGGUAGUUACUCUUGUUUCUUUAGGUUUGAUUGACCAUUAUUUGAGGACGAACAAAGUUU